rnacentral:tRNA from 1 species
GGAGAUGUAGCUCAGAUGGUAGAGUGCUCGCUUAGCAUGCGAGAGGUAUGGGGACUGUCAUUGUGGGGAUGUAGCUCAGAUGGUAGAGCGCUCCCUGCAUUUCUA